CUUCCCUACGGGGGGCAGCAGUGGGGAAUAUUGCACAAUGGGGGAAACCCUGAUGCAGCGACGCCGCGUGAGUGAAGAAGUAUUUCGGUAUGUAAAGUUCUAUCAGCAGGGAAGAUAAUGACGGUACCUGACUAAGAAGCUCCGGCUAAAUACGUGCCAGCAGCCGCGGUAAUACGUAUGGAGCAAGCGUUAUCCGGAUUUACUGGGUGUAAAGGGAGCGUAGACGGCGAUGCAAGUCUGAAGUGAAAGCCCGGGGCUCAACCCCGGGACUGCUUUGGAAACUGUAUGGCUGGAGUGCUGGGGAG
rnacentral:rRNA from 1 species